rfam:Ovis aries breed Texel chromosome 2, whole genome shotgun sequence.
UCCUUGGUGGCUCAGACGGUAAAGCGCCUGCCUACAAUGCAGGAGAUCUCCUGGAGACCCAGGUUCGAUCCCUGGGUCGGGAA